AUUGAACGCUGGCGGAAUGCUUUACACAUGCAAGUCGAACGGCAGCACGGACUUCGGUCUGGUGGCGAGUGGCGAACGGGUGAGUAAUGUAUCGGAACGUGCCCAGUCGUGGGGGAUAACGUAGUGAAAAUUACGCUAAUACCGCAUACGAUCUAUGGAUGAAAGCGGGGGAUAGCAAGACCGCGCGCGAUUGGAGCGGCCGAUAUCAGAUUAGGUAGUUGGUGGGGUAAAGGCCCACCAAGCCAACGAUCUGUAGCUGGUCUGAGGGGACGACCAGCCACACUGGAACUGAGACACGGUCCAGACUCCUACGGGAAGCAGCAGUGGGGAACUUUGGACAAUGGGCGAAAGCCUGAUCCAGCCAUUCCGCGUGCAGGAUGAAUGCCCUCGGGUUGUAAACUGCUUUUGUACAGAACGAAAAGGUUUCUACUAAUACUAGGAGCUCAUGACGGUACUGUAAGAAUAAGCACCGGCUAACUACGUGCCAGCCGCCGCGGUAA
rnacentral:rRNA from 1 species